GCUGCCCUCUAUAAAAAGUAUUAAUUAGUAGUUAAGGCCUACAGCAUUUUUCUUUCUUGCUCUGAAAAUACUGCUGUGGAUAAUGUAAUGAUUAGUGGGAGUUGUAGUUCAACUGUAGUCGAAAUCUGACAAUUGAACUACAACCCCUUACUCUAAAAAAGAAAGGAUCAAAAAUGAAUGAUGUGGAAUAUUUUGAAAAUAAAACUGUCAUUUAGUAUCUUAUAUCUGGAUAAUCAGCAUUACUUAUUUAAUGGUCAUUUUCCCCUUAAGGUUCUGCUCAGCUGGCAAGAUCUACUAUGAAGAUAAUUGGAAAUUUUACGCCACGUAGGAUGAAUUACAAAAAUAAAUUCUACUCCUCUAUAUUUUUAUUUUUGUGACAAUAACUUGUAAAAGUUUCAGUGACUCUUUGAUCAAUCUCCACCACCAAUUUCUCCUCUUAUACCUAUGCUGAUUAAAAAUGAAUCAAGAUGAAGGCAUUUAAUUCUAGGACAUGCAUACAGCAGUGUGGAUUCCCAUGUGUCCAG